GAAAUGCAGUUAACGGAAAAUGCACGCUUAGAUGAGCGGGCAACAGACGCGGCGGACUUGGCUGGCGGCAGAGUCCCUGGAGAUAUCGUGCCUUCCAACCAAAUACUCAGGAAAUUCCAAAUUCGGAGCGCUCUGUGCCAGGAAUUGGAGGAGACCAAACACACGUAUCUUAUUAUAAGUCACAAACGGGCUCCACCGUCUCCUGUGUCCCUCCUGUACCUAGCCCAUCCACUUCCUUCAUCUCAACCCCCAACCUCGCCCCAGGCUGCAGUGGACCCUUCAUCUAUGUCAUCUAGGAUGAGCACCAGAUUCAAUGAG
ensembl:lncRNA